rnacentral:rRNA from 1 species
CACGUAGGCGGACUGGUCAGUUGGGGGUGAAAUCCCAGGGCUCAACCCUGGAACUGCCUCCAAUACUGCCAGUCUUGAGUCCGAGAGAGGUGAGUGGAAUUCCUAGUGUAGAGGUGAAAUUCGUAAAUAUUAGGAAGAACACCAGUGGCGAAGGCGGCUCACUGGCUCGGUACUGACGCUGAGGUGCGAAAGCGUGGGGAGCAAACA